rnacentral:rRNA from 1 species
CCUACGGGUGGCAGCAGUGAGGAAUAUUGGUCAAUGGGCGAGAGCCUGAACCAGCCAAGUCGCGUGAGGGAUGAAGGCUCUAUGGAUUGUAAACCUCUUUUAUAAGGGAAUAAAGUGCGGGACGUGUACUGUUUUGUAUGUACCAUAUGAAUAAGGAUCGGCUAACUCCGUGCCAGCAGCCGCGGUAAUACGGAGGAUCCGAGCGUUAUCCGGAUUUAUUGGGUUUAAAGGGUGCGUAGGCGGCCUUUUAAGUCAGCUGUGAAAGUCUGCGGCUCAACCAUAAAAUUGCCGUUGAAACUGGGUGGCUUGAGUGCGUCAGAGGUAGGCGGAAUGCGUGGUGUAGCGGUGAAAUGCUUAGAUAUCACGCAGAACUCCGAUUGCGAAGGCAGCUUACUGGGCUAUAACUGACGCUGAUGCUCGAAAGUGUGGGUAUCAAACAGGAUUAGAUACCCGAGUAGUC